rnacentral:rRNA from 1 species
UACGUAGGGGGCUAGCGUUGUCCGGAAUCAUUGGGCGUAAAGCGCGUGUAGGCGGCCCGGUAAGUCCGCUGUGAAAGUCGGGGGCUCAACCCUCGGAUGCCGGUGGAUACUGUCGGGCUAGAGUGCGGAAGAGGCGAGUGGAAUUCCUGGUGUAGCGGUGAAAUGCGCAGAUAUCAGGAGGAACACCAAUUGCGAAGGCAGCUCGCUGGGACGUGACUGACGCUGAGGAGCGAAAGCGUGGGGAGCGAACAGG